CACGUAGGGCGCAAGCGUUGUCCGGAAUUAUUGGGCGUAAAGAGCUCGUAGGCGGUCUGUUGCGUCCGCUGUGAAAACCCGGGGCUUAACCCUGGGCUGGCAGUGGAUACGGACAGACUAGAGGUAGGUAGGGGAGAAUGGAAUUCCCGGUGUAGCGGUGAAAUGCGCAGAUAUCAGGAGGAACACCGGUGGCGAAGGCGGGUCUCUGGGCCGGUAUUGACACUGAGGCGCGAAAGCCAGGGGAGCAAACGGG
rnacentral:rRNA from 1 species